CGUUCAGGAGAGCGGAUAUAAUGAGUAAGAGCUCCCCAACGCUGCAAUCAGUCCUAAGCACAUAUCCUCCCCUAAAGAAUGCUGACGAGAUAGUCAAAGAGUGUGAACGGGCUGUCAGUGCUCAGAUACAGGAACACUACACAAGAACAUGGGAGAAAAUAUGCCCCAAAAUCCUGAACAUCGCGAAAUAUGACACAGACAAACAUUUGCAAACUGAGUUGGCCAGAUACGAUGUAAGCUACGCUACAGGUGAGAAAGAUUGUUUGCUAAAUUGCUCUUUCCUUGUCCACAUUUUAUUCUUAUACAGCUGAGGGUAACAGUAUCCUGGAAAUAUGGUGCUUGUAUUAUAUGCUUUGCGACGUGCGUUACAAGGCAACCCAUGAAAGAUUGCUAAUACUAGCCAAGGAUGGUGAAACACUGAAGGAUGUUCCAUUCCCACAGCCAUGCCUUUGGGUUGCCAGCAGCAAUAUUCUAGGGAGGAUAAAUGAAGUUGAUCUGGUGAUUGAAAAAGAAAAAAUUGCAACAAUACCUGCAAAGAAAGCACUUUUGGUCCUCUUGAGCACCUUCUACGCCUUCAAUAUGGAGUACACUGAAGGGUGUUCUAAGUUUUACACCGCACUGGAGAUCAUUUUUCUUGGCUCAAAGAGAGAUCCAUCGAAGAUUAAAGUAAAUAGGCUUUUG